rnacentral:tRNA from 1 species
AUUUAAGUAGCUUAAUUAAAGCACAUCUCUGAAGAAGAUAAGAURAGAGACCUCCUUAAAUA